ensembl:lincRNA
AUUACAUGUUAGGGAAAGGAGAAUAUACGACUUAGAGGAAAACACAAGACUGUUGUUAUAGUUUUACAAAGUGGAGCAACUUCACGGGUGAUAGUGCGGAGCUGUUGCUGAAUAUUAUGAAAAUGCUGCAGUUUGUCAUAUGCUGUGUAUUGCUGCCUCACAGAGAUUAUUAUAAGCAGGUAAACAACCUCUAUUCAAAAAGUGAAGUCUUAGAUAAUGCCCACAAGAAGGAGGACUAAAGUUAGCAAGGGUGAAUGAAAUGGGAGUCUGUUGGAGGUGAGGGGAGAGAGAGGGAGAAAGAAGGGGAGGUGGAAAGGAAAGAGGAAAAGAGGAGGGAGGGAUAUGGGAGGAAGGAUAAAGACAGGAGAAGUGGGAAGAAGCACAUGAAUGGAACAAAGCUUAGAAAACAGUGAGGUGGUGGGGAGGGGAGGAAAACCCCUGUGAAGUCAGCAUUUAUCUGGAAGCAGUGCAUCACAGGCAGGCUCUGUGCACCCUGCCUGACUCCCCUGCACUUUCUCAGGCUCCCUGAUGAAUCAAGCCUGUUUUUCUAGAAGUCAAAAGGCAAAAGGGGGUCUAGGGACAUGCCACUACUGCUCUUAAAACACAACAGUUAGCUUCUGCAUUUUGUUUGGACUUUGAAACAUUAUUAAACCACAUAGUCAUUUUUUAUUUCAUGAUUUUGAAUACUUCCAUGACAAUAUUACAUCUGGAAUUUCUAAGCAUAUAUUCUGGUUACUUUUCAUGGUUCCCCUGAAUUAAGAGGUCACUUUGUGUGUUGAUGAGGACUGUAUAUGGGUGAGAAGCCCCAGGUGAGGCUGGAUGAUUGGAGUACAAGCUGCAGUAACAAGACCCAUACUCUAUCAUCUGUAAAGGGAGUCCAUGAAGAACUAAGACACGGAAGCUGGAGGCACAGAACUGGUUGGGAAAAAGCGCAGAUUCAUGACCUGAUUUAAAAAAUAGGAAUCACGAGGGCAUAGAUAUGAGAAAGCAGUUCCAAGGCCAUCAAGCGUUCAAAAACUGAAUGACUGAGGAGGACAGAGAUAGGUGAGUGGUCAAA